UACGAAGGGGGCUAGCGUUGUUCGGAAUUACUGGGCGUAAAGGGCGCGUAGGCGGCCGGCUAAGUUAGAUGUGAAAGUCCUGGGCUCAGCCUGGGGACUGCAUUUAAUACUGGUUGGCUUGAAUUCGGGAGAGGAUAGCGGAAUUCCCAGUGUAGAGGUGAAAUUCGUAGAUAUUGGGAAGAACACCGGUGGCGAAGGCGGCUAUCUGGACCGACAUUGACGCUGAGGCGCGAAAGCGUGGGGAGCAAACAGG
rnacentral:rRNA from 1 species